UGACACUUUGCUAUGGCUGACAUUGU
rnacentral:piRNA from 1 species